rnacentral:rRNA from 1 species
GUACACCUAUACAUUGGGUUCGUACAUUACUCUAUAGUAUGUGAGCGUAUUACCGGUGGAGUUCUUAUAUGCAAUAGUAUUCGUAUUAUUGUAUAUUCCUCCUAUUCAAACCUACUUCAGUGCUCUUCAUCGAGUGUUGUUGUGGGCCGGUACAAUUACUUUGAACAAAUUAGAGUGCUUAAAGCAGGCUUCAAAUGCCUGAAUAUUUGUGCAUGGAAUAAUGGAAUAAGACCUCUGUUCUACUUUCAUUGGUUUAUAGAUCAAGAGGUAAUGAUUAAUAGAAGCAGUUUGGGGGCAUUAGUAUUACGACGCGAGAGGUGAAAUUCUUGGACCGUCGUAAGACUAACUUAAGCGAAAGCAUUUGCCAAAGAUGUUUUCAUUAAUCAAGAACGAAAGUUAGAGGUUCGAAGGCGAUCAGAUACCGCCCUAGUUCUAACCAUAAACGAUGCCAGCUAGCAAUUGGGUGUAGCUACUUUUAUGGCUCUC